ensembl:lncRNA
ACCAGAAUACCCUAGCCAUCCCAACAACAUCCUUCAUCCCAAGCCAAGGAAAUGGAUGCAAAGAUUUAGCUGGAUGUUCAUGUGAGGCUGGACAGCGUCUUUUUCUUACCUGCUCAGAUAGGAGAUUGAAGGCUCUUCAUGAUGGGCUUUGCCUUGCACCUCAGGUACAGAUCCUGCUUACUCCCACCAUUGUGUAAUUUUGUGUGUUAGUAUUCCAGGCUGCCAUAAAAUGAACAGAGAGAUUGAGAUUAGGUUGGUUUCAAUUUUACAUCUUGCAAUCAGCUACAAGUAGGGAAAAAAACAAAUGUCCUUGGGAAAGCAGCUGUAGAGCAUUUGGUUUGCUGUGGGGGAGCAAAGAGGGUACCAGGCUGCAAAACACUGGGAUCAUCUAAAGAAACACACUGGUAGCUGCCCCCUCCUCCCAUGUCAGAUAAAGUUUGCAAGCAUGCUUUCAAGCAGCUUAAGUCUCCUCCUAAUCUUAUAAGAGAAAUGGAAUUAUUUGCUCUUGCUUAUAUCUACAGUGAUUUCUGUCUCUCUUGUCUGUCAUGUGAGUCAGAUCUUAAACCUCUUUGUAAACUUCAAUUAAAUGUUUAGCCACAGACGGGGGGAUGUGUUUCAGACAAGCUUUGGUGAAUGCCCUGGCGUGUUUUGAAGCACAGCAAUGUGAAGUGAUGAGAAUAUUAGCAUUUUUGCUGUUGGGCUUCAAGAUGAUCUGAGAAGUUGCUGCUGUCACACACCAAUCAUUUUUGAGUACGAAUGAGUAUAUGUGCAAAAUUGAAGACACACGUUUAAGUCUUUCUGAUGAUGUCUGAAUGGACUAUAGAGAUGGGUAAAGUCUCUGCAGGUGAGACUUGAGCAUUUACUGAAUGACAAC